rnacentral:rRNA from 1 species
AGAGUUUGAUCAUGGCUCAGGACGAACGCUGGCGGCGUGCUUAACACAUGCAAGUCGAACGCUGAAGCUUGGUGCUUGCACUGGGUGGAUGAGUGGCGAACGGGUGAGUAAUACGUGAGUAACCUGCCCUUGACUCUGGGAUAAGCCUGGGAAACUGGGUCUAAUACUGGAUACGACGGCGCAUCGCAUGGUGUGUUGUGGAAAGGGUUUUACUGGUUUUGGAUGGGCUCACGGCCUAUCAGCUUGUUGGUGGGGUAAUGGCUCACCAAGGCGACGACGGGUAGCCGGCCUGAGAGGGUGACCGGCCACACUGGGACUGAGACACGGCCCAGACUCCUACGGGAGGCAGCAGUGGGGAAUAUUGCACAAUGGGCGGAAGCCUGAUGCAGCGACGCCGCGUGAGGGAUGACGGCCUUCGGGUUGUAAACCUCUUUCAGCACGGAAGAAGCGAGAGUGACGGUACGUGCAGAAGAAGCGCCGGCUAACUACGUGCCAGCAGCCGCGGUAAUACGUAGGGCGCAAGCGUUGUCCGGAAUUAUUGGGCGUAAAGAGCUCGUAGGCGGUUUGUCGCGUCUGCUGUGAAAGCCCGGGGCUUAACCCCGGGUGUGCAGUGGGUACGGGCAGACUUGAGUGCAGUAGGGGAGACUGGAAUUCCUGGUGUAGCGGUGAAAUGCGCAGAUAUCAGGAGGAACACCGAUGGCGAAGGCAGGUCUCUGGGCUGUUACUGACGCUGAGGAGCGAAAGCAUGGGGAGCAAACAGGAUUAGAUACCCUGGUAGUCAAGGGCGAAUUCGUU